rnacentral:sRNA from 1 species
UUUUGGUUGAGGAACAGCUUCAAGCUGGCCAUAUAGAACCAACACUUAGCCUUUAGAAUACCCCCAUUUUUGUUAUUAAGAAAAAAUCAGAUAUCUGGAGGUUAUUACAGGAUCUAAGGGCAAUAAAUCAUGCAAUUCAGCCUAUGGCACCAUUGCAAUCUGACUUCCUUCCCCCAGAGCUAUUCCUUUGGAUUAUAGCUUAAUGGUAAUAGACCUGAAAGAUUCUUUCUUUUCUAUAAAAUUGCAUCCUGACAUUGCUUUCAG